GUGGGGAAUCUUGCGCAAUGGGCGAAAGCCUGACGCAGCCAUGCCGCGUGAAUGAUGAAGGUCUUAGGAUUGUAAAAUUCUUUCACCGGGGACGAUAAUGACGGUACCCGGAGAAGAAGCCCCGGCUAACUUCGUGCCAGCAGCCGCGGUAAUACGAAGGGGGCUAGCGUUGCUCGGAAUUACUGGGCGUAAAGGGCGCGUAGGCGGACAGUUUAGUCAGAGGUGAAAGCCCAGGGCUCAACCUUGGAAUUGCCUUUGAUACUGGCUGGCUUGAGUACGGGAGAGGUGAGUGGAACUCCGAGUGUAGAGGUGAAAUUCGUAGAUAUUCGGAAGAACACCAGUGGCGAAGGCGACUCACUGGCCCGUUACUGACGCUGAGGCGCGAAAGCGUGGGGAGCAAACAGGAUUAGAAACCCGAGUAGUCC
rnacentral:rRNA from 1 species